UACGAAGGGGGGCUAGCGUUGCUCGGAAUCACUGGGCGUAAAGCGCACGUAGGCGGCUUUUUAAGUCAGAGGUGAAAUCCUGGAGCUCAACUCCAGAACUGCCUUUGAUACUGGAGAGCUUGAGUCCGGGAGAGGUGAGUGGAACUGCGAGUGUAGAGGUGAAAUUCGUAGAUAUUCGCAAGAACACCAGUGGCGAAGGCGGUUCACUGGACACGAUUGACGCUGAGGUGCGAAAGCGUGGGGAGCAAACAGG
rnacentral:rRNA from 1 species